rnacentral:rRNA from 1 species
GAUGAACGCUGGCGGCGUGCCUAAUACAUGCAAGUCGAGCGAACAGACGAGGAGCUUGCUCCUCUGACGUUAGCGGCGGACGGGUGAGUAACACGUGGAUAACCUACCUAUAAGACUGGGAUAACUUCGGGAAACCGGAGCUAAUACCGGAUAAUAUAUUGAACCGCAUGGUUCAAUAGUGAAAGACGGUUUUGCUGUCACUUAUAGAUGGAUCCGCGCCGCAUUAGCUAGUUGGUAAGGUAACGGCUUACCAAGGCAACGAUGCGUAGCCGACCUGAGAGGGUGAUCGGCCACACUGGAACUGAGGCACGGUCCAGACUCCUACGGGAGGCAGCAGUAGGGAAUCUUCCGCAAUGGGCGAAAGCCUGACGGAGCAACGCCGCGUGAGUGAUGAAGGUCUUCGGAUCGUAAAACUCUGUUAUUAGGGAAGAACAAAUGUGUAAGUAACUAUGCACGUCUUGGCGGUACCUAAUCAGAAAGCCACGGCUAACUACGUG